AAAUGAAUUGACGGGGGCCCGCACAAGCAGUGGAGUAUGUGGUUUAAUUCGAAGCAACGCGAAGAACCUUACCAGGUCUUGACAUCCGACUAACGAAGCAGAGAUGCAUCAGGUGCCCUUCGGGGAAAGUCGAGACAGGUGGUGCAUGGUUGUCGUCAGCUCGUGUCGUGAGAUGUUGGGUUAAGUCCCGCAACGAGCGCAACCCUUGUCAUUAGUUGCUACGCGAGAGCACUCUAAUGAGACUGCCGUUGACAAAACGGAGGAAGGUGGGGACGACGUCAAAUCAUCAUGCCCUUUAUGACCUGGGCUACACACGUACUACAAUGGCCGCUAACAACGGGAAGCAAGAGCGCGAGCUGGAGCAAAUCCCCAAAAGCGGUCUCAGUUCAGAUUGCAGGCUGCAACCCGCCUGCAUGAAGUCGGAAUUGCUAGUAAUCGCAGAUCAGCAUGCUGCGGUGAAUACGUUCCCGGGCCUUGUACACACCGCCCGU
rnacentral:rRNA from 1 species